GACGAACGCUGGCGGCGUGCUUAACACAUGCAAGUCGAACGGAAAGGCCCUGCUUUUGUGGGGUGCUCGAGUGGCGAACGGGUGAGUAACACGUGAGUAACCUGCCCUUUACUUUGGGAUAACUUCAGGAAACUGGGGCUAAUACCGGUUAUUAGCUCCUGCUGCAUGGUGGGGGUUGGAAAGUUUCGGCGGUUGGGGUUGGACUCGCGGCUUAUCAGCUUGUUGGUGGGGUAGUGGCUUACCAAGGCUUUGACGGGUAGCCGGCCUGAGAGGGUGACCGGCCACAUGGGGAAGGAGAUAAGGCCAAGACGCCUACGGGAGGCAGCAGUGGGGAAUAUUGGACAAUGGGCGGAAGCCUGAUGCAGCAACGCCGCGUGCGGGAUGACGGCCUUCGGGUUGUAAACCGCUUUCGCCUGUGACGAAGCGGGAGUGACGGUAAUGGGUAAAGAAGCACCGGCUAACUACGUG
rnacentral:rRNA from 1 species